rnacentral:lncRNA from 1 species
GAAGAAUAAUGUCGAUUGUAUUAAGAAAUUGGUACAUAAUCUCAAGGAUUGUCUAGUACAAAGCGUAUGAAAGCAAAAACAAUCAACAACCACAAAAGACCCAGGUGCACCCUAUUUAUAACAUAUAGGGGCGACUUAUUACAUUUGGGCCAACCGACACACCUAUAAUAUAAUCAAUCAAGCCUAAUUACACUAUCUAACCAACCCAUAACUAACGUAUACAAGAAAAACGUAAACCUACUAAAUCAUGUCCUUACAAUAUGCCACUAGGUUUAUGUUGUCUUGGAAAUUUGAGCUUUACUUGCGUCUUUUCUUCUGUUGUUGCUGAAAGUCCGGAAGCUUAUUUCCAACGUAAGGACCAAACAGCUGUGUCUCUACUCUUGAUUUCUGUCCAGACCACAACUUGAACAAUGUGAUUUGAGCAAUUCCAGCAGUAAACGAUUUGGCACAAACUUCGUAUUGUGGAUCACUCUAUAUUUGCGACCUUCCCAGCAGCUUGAUAUCAUUCUCUCUAAACCUCAUAAGAUCACAAACAUCAUUAACUCUAUGCUCAUCAUGCUCACAAAUAAUCACAGCUUGACCAGAUGUGACAACCGACAGGAUCAUACAUCCAAAACUUAAAUUCCUUCACACUAUUAUUUGGAAGAUUCUUGAGCAGUGUAAUGGUCUUUGUCUAUUUAGUUGGAG